AAUUACAAUGGAGAGAAGCUUCACAUUAACAUUAACUGGCAAUUGGGAUGGAAAUUCGCUUUAGAAAUUUGUUUCAGCAGAGUUUCACAAUCAAAAUUUGUAUGUAUGGUUAGUGGGAAUACACAGGGCCAUCGUUUGCUUCCAUUGGACCUGAAAUGCAUCCUCUGUAGAAGUAGGUCCAGAGUUGAUUGCAUUUGUAAGUUUUCUUGCUAGAACUGCCUUGUUCACAGAAGGCAAUGGAUCCAAUUACGGUUUCUUAUUCCUCAUCAUUCAGUCACAUGAGAAAUUGCAUUAGCUUACUACGGUUGGCUAUUUCUGCAGUCUCCCUAGAUACACCAUAAGUACAUGCCGGCAAAGGUUCAGUACUAGCCAAUUCAUUUCAGUUCCAUACUAGCCAAUUCAUUUCAAAGUUUUUUUCAUUUGUGUGAAAUACAUGAAACUUGUAGCCCAUACCCUUUGUUUGGAAUGAGGGAAAUGGAGAGGAGAAAAUAAAUGAAAUUUGAUAUUCUUAAAAUCCUUGAUUGGACAUUAAAUUGAAGAGAGAGAAGAAGAGCAAGGGAGAGAGUCUGGGAAAAGGUAUUUCUCAACUCCUUAUAUUUGAUCCAAAAGAUUUCUCUCUAAAAGAGGAAUUGCCACUUGAUAGCGCCUUGGAAAUACUUGCAUGGUUCAUAUAUAUAUAUAUAUAUCACUUGUAUGCAAAUACAAACAUCAUUUCUCAUACGAAAUCUAUACAAACAUCAUAAUGGAAAUUAGAUCUUUUAUUUUCUCUUCAUUUUUCUUACUCAAAUUCUUUUUAUUUUCCCUGCACAAUUAAGAUACAAACAAAGGGGGAAAUUCUCUUGCAACAUUGAGUUAAUUUUCCCUGUAUCUGAAAAAUGAGAGGCCCAUUGCUCUCACCAUAUCGCUGCAAAUUUCAUUCUGCAACUCUUUCGCAAAAGUUGUGCGUAUGAAAGCCUCUGCAAGAUCCUUGGAUAUCCAGUUUAAUGUCAAGGAAGUCACCAUAAAGUCACCUUUCCUCUGGAUUUCAUAUUCAACAGAAUCUUCUUCUGGAACCCUAAUUGUACCAUCUACAAACCCCAACUUUUGUUUUGCAUCGUUGCCCUAUUCCAUGAUCGAUAGUUACCAUCGAUCAAAGAGGCCGUGACUAAAGCUCACACCUAGAUUGUCCGAGCUUUGCAAGCUCAACAAUCCUAUCCAGUGGCUAUAUUCACCAUCGUAGCUUGAUUCCGUGCAGGAACUUGCUCUGCUCUUGCCUUUAUGGCAUUAAUUUCUUAUACUAGGACUGCAAA
rnacentral:misc_RNA from 1 species